CACUCUUUGUUACGUGGCCUAGGCUUUCUGAGAGGAGCACUCGCUGUAGAGCGGAGUAACCUGUUUGCCCAGAUACCACAAAGCUGGGAGUCAAACCCAGAGUAUAAACGUUGAGAUCGGAGGCUUUGACUAGAUGUAAAGUUGUCACACCGGGGAAGCGCCCUUGGGCCUAGGCCAGGACCUUUGUCAUCCGGACUUGAGGCUUAUUUACAUUUGGCCUGUCCCCGUGCAAAUUCUCCGUUAGCUGCCAUCAUCCAAAGCACUGAACAACAGACACCCUUCUCUGGGCAUUCUUCACACAGUCUGUAUUUGGCCUGGCCUUUCUUGAAAGGUUCCCUGCUUUACCUCAUUUGGAUAAGUUAGAUAGGUCACUCUUGCUUAAUUCAUUAACAACUCCCUUAAGUGGUUGUAACCAAAUCACAGGAGGAGUGGCCGUAAUUAGAACCUGUCAAAUGUGCGUAAGUCCCAAUUCCACUUUACUCCUGACCCUAAGCAAGUAGCUUGACCUCCCUACACCUGAUUAUUCUAUACAUAACAUGAAAGCUUUGAAAUAGACCAUCUUUCAGGCUUAUUCCUCUUUAAAAUGUCUGUGAUUCCAUGAAUUCCAUAACUACCCACCAUUCCCCUUUUCCCACUCUUCACUAUUUAAACCCAUUCUCCAUCUCUCCAGAGAAAUGAGAUUUGAGAUUAGAAAUGAGAUUUGAGAUUAGAAGGUGGGAGUCCCUUUCUCUGAAACAGCCUGGUUUGAAAAAGGUGGUAGUUUCUGAAUUGUCUUUUCCCUGGACAGGAAAAAUUUCCUCUGAACUACCUUUUUCUCCUUGUGAUAACAACAGAAACCAAGCAGCAACAGCCCUUGGAGAGAGACUAAGUUUUCUUGACUUCCACAGUGACAGAGAGCUUGUGAAAGUUGGUACUUCUGGCCUACGCUGUCAUCAUCCUACCACCCAACCCAAGACAGCCCAGGCUGGACAUUAGUGCCUCCCUCUUUAUUCCUCUGUGAUCAUCCAGAUCAGCACCUGACUGUUUAUUUUCAAAUCUCACAAACACAGCCGCCAGAUCUUCAUAUUCUGGUUCUUGGCUGCUCUUGAAGGACAGUGACUUGUUACCACCACAACAGUAGAGCCUGCCUUCCUCAGCAGAUCUCCAGUCAGCCCCUGACAUCUCCCCCUCCCUCCCUUGUCUCCCUUUGUGGCCUCCUAAAUGCCCAUCUCGUUGGCCUGGGUUCAACUGGUGGUAUGGAGGGGUGCUGCCUAGCACUGACCUGGGAGUGUGUGUGACCCACUGACCCAAUGGACAUCAAAGGCCAGUUCUGGAAUGAUGAUGAUUCGGAGGGAGAUAAUGAAUCAGAGGAAUUUCUCUAUGGAGUUCAGGGGAGCUGUGCAGCUGACUUAUAUCGACACCCACAGCUUGAUGCAGACAUUGAAGCAGUGAAGGAGAUCUACAGUGAAAACUCUGUAUCCAUCAGAGAAUAUGGAACUAUUGAUGACGUGGACAUUGACCUCCACAUCAACAUCAGCUUCCUCGAUGAGGAAGUUUCUACAGCCUGGAAGGUCCUCCGGACAGAACCUAUUGUGUUGAGGCUGAGAUUUUCACUCUCCCAGUACCUUGAUGGACCGGAACCAUCAAUUGAGGUUUUCCAGCCAUCAAAUAAGGAAGGAUUUGGGCUGGGUCUUCAGUUGAAAAAGAUCCUGGGUAUGUUUACAUCCCAACAAUGGAAACAUCUCAGCAACGAUUUCUUAAAGACCCAGCAGGAGAAGAGGCACAGCUGGUUCAAGGCAAGUGGUACCAUCAAGAAGUUCCGAGCUGGCCUCAGCAUCUUCUCACCCAUCCCCAAGUCUCCGAGUUUCCCUAUCAUACAGGACUCCAUGCUGAAAGGCAAAUUGGGUGUACCAGAGCUUCGAGUUGGACGCCUCAUGAACCGUUCCAUCUCCUGCACCAUGAAGAACCCCAAAGUAGAGGUGUUUGGCUACCCUCCCAGCCCCCAGGCAGGUCUCCAGUGCCCCCAGCACGUGGGCCUCCCUCCCCCAGCAUGGACCUCUCCUUUGGUCAGUGGUCACUGCAAAAACAUCCCCACUCUGGAAUAUGGAUUCCUUGUCCAGAUCAUGAAAUAUGCAGAGCAGAGGAUUCCAACAUUGAACGAGUACUGCGUGGUGUGUGAUGAGCAGCAUGUCUUCCAGAAUGGGUCCAUGCUCAAGCCAGCCGUCUGUACUCGUGAACUGUGCGUUUUCUCCUUCUACACCUUGGGAGUCAUGUCCGGAGCUGCAGAGGAGGUGGCCACUGGAGCAGAGGUGGUGGAUCUGCUGGUGGCCAUGUGUAGGGCAGCUUUGGAGUCCCCUAGAAAGAGCAUCAUCUUUGAGCCUUAUCCCUCUGUGGUGGACCCCACUGAUCCCAAGACUCUGGCCUUUAAUCCUAAGAAGAAGAAUUAUGAGCGACUUCAGAAAGCUCUGGAUAGUGUGAUGUCCAUCCGGGAGAUGACCCAGGGCUCAUAUCUGGAAAUCAAGAAGCAGAUGGACAAGCUGGAUCCCCUGGCCCAUCCUCUUCUGCAGUGGAUCAUCUCUAGUAACAGGUCACACAUUGUCAAACUACCUCUCAGCAGGCAGCUGAAGUUCAUGCACACCUCACACCAGUUCCUCCUGCUGAGCAGCCCUCCUGCCAAGGAGGCUCGGUUCCGGACCGCCAAGAAGCUCUAUGGCAGCACCUUUGCCUUCCAGUUUAUUUGUGUCCAUCUUCAUGUCCUUGGGUCCCACAUUGAGAACUGGCAUUCGAUCCUGCGCAAUGGGCUGGUCAAUGCAUCCUACACCAAACUGCAGGAAUGGGAAAAGGACAGCACAGGAUGCCCUCCAAGGACGAGCUGGUCCAGAGAUAUAACAGAAUGAAUACCAUCCCGCAGACCCGAUCCAUUCAGUCAAGGUUCCUGCAGAGUCGGAAUCUAAACUGUAUAGCACUUUGUGAAGUGAUUACAUCUAAGGACCUCCAGAAGCAUGGGAACAUCUGGGUGUGCCCUGUGUCCGACCAUGUCUGCACACG